UUAUAUGAAAAUAAAAACGAAAUAAAUCAAUCAAUUCUGGAAUUUGUGUUCACAUACAUCAAAAAUCCAAAACAAUAAUUAAACGUAGUAUUACAAGGUUCAUCGAUCUCCUAGUAGUAAUAAAUCUAGCCUAACAUGCUAAAAAGAACAAAACUUAAAAAUAUUUGAAGAAACGACAUCACCCGAAUCAAUCUUCAAUCCGAUCUUUACUUGGCGCGAUGUUGUUCUCUUGUUCUCUCCCUCGUUUCUCCUUCAAAAUCUCCCAAAAAUAUGUAAAAACGGCUUCCCCUAUGUUUUGGUCGAGUUUUUGUAUUUAUAGGACCCUAAAAUUGUUGUUUCCAUAAGAGUUUCGAAAGAAAAAGGAAACUAAAUUUUUCCUCAAUAUUUGCUCUAUGCAACCGCAUAGAGUAAACUUUUCAAGCCUCUUUGGUUUCAGUAUGGUACUAUGUGACCACAUAGUACUAUCAACUAUGGUAUAAGUGUGUUUUGGUCCUCCCACUUGCAUCCUUCACUUCUUAGCAUCUUCUCUUUAUUCUUUUUAUUUCAUCACCCCACGAUAUUGUCAAUUGGUAAUGGGCCUAAUCGAUUUCUCGAUUUGUCCAUCGGAUCAACUUUUGGAUAUUUGCACUUUUGGUCCCUGAACUUUCACUUUGCCUGUCUUUAGUCCUUUUUUCGCGUCCUUUCUCUUGAAUUUCACCAUAUUCAUCGUUGUUUCCUACAAUUCACAAAUGUACAAGAUUAAGUCACAAUUCAAUCAUUUUGCUCGUUUUUAAGUUAUGUUUGUGACCUAAAUAAGUGUGCGAAAAUACACUUAUCAAUUCUACUCAACAAUUGCUAACGAAACAAAUAAUCUCACAUGAAUGCAACUGAGUUUUGAAAUCCCACAUUCAAACUUAAGAAUAACAACACAUUACAAAGUUACAGCGGAAAGUGAUGAACAAAUAGAAGUCUCAUUCAAAAGGACAUGAGAUCCCUCAUUUGAGGUCUAACAUGCUCCCUUUCCCAUAGACAAAAGGUGCAUCAUUGCAGUACUGCUGCUGCUUAUAAUCUUGAUAUUCAUUGUUGUGUUUGAUUAUGAAGAAUUGGUGUUUAUAUUAUGAUACAUGCUCGUGUUCAUAAUGCUUCGUGGUUCUUCGGGCUUCUAUUCUUAUGCCAUUUACGAACACAGAGGAUAUGGCUGCAUUCAACCUCAAUGAAACCAGAAUUGCCUUCAUGCUUAGCAUACAAAAGUAGGCUCACUUAAGCAUAAUUCGUCUGGUAGCUUAACAAAAGUAGGCAUACUUAAGCAUACUCUAUACGAAAAAUACCCCUUUAUUGAAAAAUGAACAAGAUACCUUUGCCCAAAAAUUUAUGGAAAAAAUACCUUUGCCUAGAACAAAAUACCCCUCUUUAUGAAAAAUGAACUUAACAAUUAGACUCAAAAAUUUAUGAAAAAUCUCACUAAUUUAGGAAGAACAAGAAAUCAAAUACUUCAACUUUAUCAACAGUCAGGCUCCAUAACCAACAUACUUCAAAUAUGUCUAAAUAAAGAGAAAUAACACCCAAAUCAUGUAAACAAGUCUAAGACAGCUUAACCAUAAAUAAACCUUAAAUUUGAUAAAGAAAU
rnacentral:lncRNA from 1 species